rnacentral:rRNA from 1 species
CGAACGCUGGCGGCGUGCCUACUACAUGCACGUAGAACGCUGAAGGAGGAGCUUGCUCUUCUGGAUGAGUUGCGAACGGGUGAGUAACGCGUAGGUAACCUGCCUGGUAGCGGGGGAUAACUAUUGGAAACGAUAGCUAAUACCGCAUAAUAGUAGAUGUUGCAUGAUAUUUACUUAAAAGGUGCAAUUGCACCACUACCAGAUGGACCUGCGUUGUAUUUGCUAGUUGGUGGGGUAACGGCUCACCAAGGCGACGAUACAUAGCCGACCUGAGAGGGUGAACGGCGACACUGAGAGUGAGACACGGCCCAGACUCCGACGGGAGGCAGCAGUAGGGAAGCUUGGGCAAAGGAGGGAAGAUUGACCGAGCAACGCAGCGUGAGUGAAGAAGGUUGUCGGAUCGGAAAGCUCUGUUGUAAGAGAAGAACGAGUGUGAGAGUGGAAAGUUCACACUGUGACGGUAUCAUACCAGAAAGGAACGGCUAACUACGUG